rnacentral:rRNA from 1 species
UUGGAGGGCAGUCUGGUGCCAGCAGCCGCGGUAAUUCCAGCUCCAAUAGCGUAUAUUAAAGUUGUUGCAGUUAAAAAGCUCGUAGUUGAAUUUCGGGAUCAAUUUGCUGGUCGUGCCUUCGGUACGCACUGGUAUUAUUGGUUUCUCCUUUCUGAUGAAUCGCGAUGUCAUUAAUUUGGUGUCGUGGGGAAUCAGGACCGUUACUUUGAAAAAAUUAGAGUGUUUAAAGCAGGCUCACGCUUGAAUACAUUAGCAUGGAAUAAUGAAAUAGGACGUUUGAUUCUAUUUUGUUGGUUUCUAGGAUCGACGUAAUGAUUAAUAGGGAUAGUUGGGGGCGUUAGUAUUCAAUUGUCAGAGGUGAAAUUCUUGGAUUUAUUGAAGACUAACUACUGCGAAAGCAUUUGCCAAGGAUGUUUUCAUUAAUCAAGAACGAAAGUUAGGGGAUCGAAGACGAUCAGAUACCGUCGUAGUCUUAACCAUAAACUAUGCCGACUAGGGAUCGGAUGAUGUUAAUUUUUUAAUGACUCAUUCGGCGCCUUACGGGAAAC